rnacentral:rRNA from 1 species
AUUGAACGCUGGCGGCAGGCCUAACACAUGCAAGUCGAGCGAGCGGCGGACGGGUGAGUACUGUAUGGGGACUGCCCGAUAGAGGGGGAUAACUACUGGAAACGGUGGCUAAUACCGCAUACUAUCGGAUAACCCAUAUGGGAUUAGCUAGUAGGUGGGGUAAAGGCUCACCUAGGCGACGAUCUCUAGCUGGUCUUAGAGGAUGAUCAGCCACAAUGGGACUGAGACACGGCCCAGACUCCUACGGAGGCAGCAGUGGGGAAUAUUGCACAAUGGGCGAAAGGCGGAUGCAGCAAUGCCGCGUGUAUGAAGAAGGCCUUAGGGUUGUAAAGUACUUACAGCGGGGAGGCGUUAACCGCAGAAGAAGCACCGGCUAACGCCGUGACAGACGCCGCGGUAAUUC